UUUUGGACAAUAAGAACAAGCAUGAUUAUAAAUAUAACAAUUUAUUUAAAAAAAAACUUUGGUGCGCCUAACCUAAGGCCAGCAGUGUACAUCAAGCUUAUUGGUGGGCGGGGCCACGCCCACUUUAAAAGGAUUUUCAAACAGAAACUUGUCCUCCCUAUUGUGAUUCGUUGUGCCGAAUAUGAGUGAUUUAUCUUAAUAUACGGCUUUGUUAUGCCACUUUAUACGAUUUAAAUGAAUGGCGUAUUGUAGGCGAGACGGUGGUCCGAAUAUGUCAGUGUGCAAUACCUUCUUAUGGUGCUGAGAAACCAGUUUCAUGUAGACAUUUUAAUUUAUACUCAAGUUACAGCUUCCACGGACGGACAUUUAUAUAUAUGUGGCAGCAUCCCCACUCAAUUCAGAGAUAUAGCGCAAUUCUGUAAGCAGUCUCUAUUCACAACACAGUCUAUUUUUGGCGUCAACAUGUAAGUUCUUAUUUCUCAGUUCUUGAUAAAUAUAUUAAUUACAAAUCAUUCUUUUAAAUAUACUUAUAUAAAGAAAUCAAGAAAAUUUUUUUAACUUAUACAGACUGCAGAUUAACAAUCCGAGCAAAAAUGAUUGAAAUAAGUUUACAAAAUCGACUAGGCAUUGCUGACCGUGAUAUCACUAAUUUGCAGCUGCUUGAUGGUUAUACGUUUAAUCAAACCGCUGUCUUUGAAACAGCGUGAUGAAAGAGAAACUUUGCUAUAUCACCCAUGACAUCGAAAUGUAAUAUUACUCGAUUGUUGUGUGAUAAAGGUUUUGAGGCGUUAUUCCAACCGCAUUUAAUAAACUUUGAAGGACAAGGCAUAUCUGGAUCAGUGUUUCGAUAUCGAUAUAUGUACAUAUGACUGAAAUUGUACAAGCAUAUCGUGCGCGUGGGGAUAAAUUUGUGAGACUUAAAAUUCAUCUUGAAGUUCCGCUACAACGAAAAUAUGUGGUCUUUAUCGGCAGCGUUAUUUUGGGUAAUAUGGCAAAGGAUAUUGAUGGUUUUUGGAUGUGCGUAGGAAACAAGAAAAUUAAGAAAAUUAUAAUAAAACUUACAAAGAGCUCACA